AUGCCGGGUAUUCCGAGGAAGUAUGCCGAGCACAAACUCCACGCCCGCAAGGACGCCAAGCCUUUCUGCCAACCCCUACGUCACUUUUUAGAAGAGAAGAGAAGAACCAUUGGUGAAGAGGUCGCCAAGCUCCUGGCGGCCGGCUUCAUCAUGGAAGUGUUCUACACCGAGUGGCUGGCCAACCCAGUUCUCUUCCUGAAGAAGAACAAGACCCGGCGCAUGUGUAUAGACUACACCAGCCUGAACAAGGCUCGUCCCAAGGAUCCAUUGGCCCUCCUGCGAAUCGAUCAAGUCAUCGACUCCACCGCUCGCUGUGAGCUCCUGUCCUUCCUGGAUGCUUACUCCAGCUAUCAUCAGAUAAAGUUGGACCCAGCGGACGCCCUGAAGACGUCCUUCAUCAUGCCCUUCGGGGCGUAUUGCCACAUCACCAUGUCGUUCGGCUUGAAGAAUGCCGGUGCCACCUUCUAG
rnacentral:rRNA from 1 species